rnacentral:rRNA from 1 species
GGAAUCUYNAGCAAUGGGGGCAACCCUGACGCAGCCACGCCGCGUGCCGGAAGACGGCCCUAUGGGUUGUAAACGGCUUUUAUUAGAAAAGAACCCGGGUCUUUCGAGACCCGCUGACGGUAUCUAACGAAUCAGCACCGGCUAACUCCGUGCCAGCAGCCGCGGUAAUCUGU